GACGAACGCUGGCGGCGUGCCUAAUACAUGCAAGUCGAACGGAGAAGCGAGUGCUUGCACUCGUGGAUCAGUGGCGAACGGGUGUGUAACACGUGAGUAACCUGCCCAUCACUCUGGGAUAAGCACUGGAAAAGGCGUCUAAUAUUGGAUACGACCUACUCAUGCAUGGGGUGUUGGUGUAAAGAUUUAUCGGUAGUGGAUGGACGCGCGGCUUAUCAGCUCGUUGGCGAGGUAAUGGCAUACGAAGGUGACGACGGAUCGACGGCCUGAGAGGGGGACCGGCCACACUGGGACUGAGGCACGGCGCAGAAUGCAACGGGAGGCAGCAGGGGAGAAUAUUGCAGAGUAGGGGCGAGCGUGAUGUGGCGGCGCCGGGUUAGGGAUGAUGGCCUUCGAGGUGUGAACCUAUGUCAGCGGGGAAGAAGCGGUAGUGACGGUACCUGCAGAGGAAGCACCGGCUAACUACGUG
rnacentral:rRNA from 1 species